rnacentral:rRNA from 1 species
CCCGCUGAGUUUAAGCAUAUCAAUAAGUGGAGCAAAAAAACUUACAAGAAUUNCCCUAGUAACGGUGAGCGAGCCGGGAAUAGCCCAGCUUGAAAAUCAUGCGGCCAUGUCGUUUGAAUUGUAGUCUGUAGAAGCAUCCUCNNNNNNNGACCGGGCACAAGUCCCAUGGAAUGGGGUGCCAGAGAGGGUGAGAGCCACGUCAUGCCCAGACCCUAUUGCUCCACGAGAUGCUGUCAACGAGUCAGGCUGUUUGGGAAUGUAGCCCUAAUCGGGCGGUGAAUUCCAUCCAAGGCUAAAUACAGGCAAGAGGCCAAUAGCGAACAAGUACCGCGAGGGAAAGAUGAAAAGGAAUUUCAAAAGAGAGUCAAAGAGUGCUUGAAAUCAUUGGGAGGGAAGCAGAUGGGGGUCGGCAAUGUGCCCCGGUCAGAUGCGGAACGUCUCUGUUGGUCUGCCCAUCGGCUCGGGGUGUGGACCGUCACAGGUCGUGGGUGCGAACCAAGCCAGUGCAUAUUUCUGCCACUUAAACAUCAUCCCCAUGACCAAGGACUACAACAUGGGCCUUCAGGCAUGCCCUUGUAGCAUCACACGCUGACAGUGACGGCCUAUGGACUCCCCAUUUGACCCAUCUUGAAACACGGACUAAGGAGUCUGACAUGUGUGCAAGUCAACAGGUGUUCAAACCCAUAAGGCACAAGGAAGCUGAUUGACAGGAACCCCCAACGGGCUGCACCAUCGAUCGACCUUGAUCUUUUGAGAAGGAUUCGAGUGCGAGCAUACCUGUCGAGACCCAAAAGAUGGUGAACUAUGCCUGAGUGGGGCAAAGCCAGAGGAAACUCUGGUGGAGGCUCGCAGCGAUACUGACGUGCAAAUCAUUCGUCUGACUUGGGUAUAGGGGUGAAAGACUAAUCGAACCAUCCAGUAGCUGGUUCCCUCCAAAGAUUCCCUCAGGAUAGCUGGAGCUCGUCAGCGAGUUCUAUCAAGUAAAGCCAAUGAUUAGAGGCAUCAGAGGCACAAUGCCCUCGACCUAUUCUCAAAUUUUAAAUAGGUAGGACGGUGCACCUACUCCGCUGAGCCACACCACAGAAUCGAGAGCUCCAAGUGGGCCAUUUUUGGUAAGCAGAACUGGCAAUGUGGGAUGAACUGGAAGCUAGGUUAUGGUGCCCAACUGUGCGCUAACCUAGACCCCAUAAAGGGUGUUGGUCAAUUAAGACAGCAGGAUGGUGGUUAUGGAAGUCGAAAUCUGCUAAGGAGUGUGUAAGAACUCACCUGUCAAAUCAACUAGCCCCAAAAAUGGAUGGCUUAAGUGUGUGACCUAUACCCGGUCGUCGGGGCAAAUGCCAGGCCCCGAUGAGUAGGAGGGCACAGUGGUCACUGUAAAACUUGGGGUGCAAGCCCGAGCAGAGCAGCCGUCGAUGUAGAUCUUGGUGGUAGUAGUAGAUAUUCAAAUGAGAACUUUGAAGGCCAAAGUGGGGAAAGGUUCCAUGUGAAUGGCACUUGCACAUGUGUUAGUCGAUCGUAAGAGACAGGGUAAUCCUAUUCGACAACACGUUCAGUGUGCCACUCCGAAAGGGAAUUAGGUUAAAAUUCCACAAUCGGGACGUGGUGGCUGACGGCAAUGUUAGGAAGUCCGGAGAUGCUAGUGGGGGCCUUGGGAAGAGUUAUCUUUUAUGUUUAACAGCCUGCCUACCCUGGAAUCGGCUUAGUCGGAGCUAGGGUCCAAUGACUGGAAGAGCACCACACAUUGCAUGGUGUCCGGUGUGCCCCCGGCGGCCCUUGAAAAUCCGAAGGAUCAAAUGCCAUCCAUGCUCAAUCGUACUUAUAACCGCAUCAUGUCUCCAGAAUGAACAACCUCUGGUCCGACGAAACAUGUAGGCAAGGGAAGUCGGCAAAAUGGGUCCGUAACUUUGGGAAAAGGAUUGGCUCCGAGGGCUGGGCUUAGGGGGUUCCAGCCCAAACCCGUUGGCUGUCAAUGUACUGCUCGAGCUGCUCAUACGGUGAGAGUGGGUUGCCGUGUGCCGGCCGGGGGAUGAACUGGGAAUGAUCCCUUCCACGGCCUUCCCCGGGCAGUGAACAACCAACUCAGAACUGGUAUGGACAAAGGGAAUCUGACUGUUUAAUUAAAAUAAAGCAUUGCGAUGGUCUCUGCAGAUGUUAACAUAAUGUGAUUUUUGUCUAGUGCUCUGAAUGUCAAAGUAAAGAAAUUCAACCAAGCACNNNNNNNNNNNNNNNNNNNNNNNNNNNNNNNNNNNNNNNNNNNNNNNNNNNNNNNNNNNNNNNNNNNNNNNNNNNNNNNNNNNNNNNNNNNNNNNNNNNNAACGACUUGAGAGGUGUAGGAUAAGUGGGAGCCCCCUUGGGUGGAAAAAGUGAAAUACCACUACUUUUAACAUUAUUUUAGUUAUUCAGUGAGUCGGAGGUGGGGCAUCACCCCUCCUUUUGGUUCCAAGGCUUGCCUCGGCACAUCGAUCCGGGCAAAAGACAUUGUCAGGUGGGGAGUUUGGCUGGGGCAGUACAUCUGUUAAAAGGUAACAUAGGUGUCCUAAGANGAGCUCGAAGAGAACAUAAAUCUCUUGUGGAACAAAAGGGUAAAAGC